UGAUUAUUAAAGAGCUGCAAUAUUUUUAAUUGUGCUAAGGUAGCAAAAUAAUUUGUUUAUUAAUUGUAAACUGGAAUGAAAGAUUUAACAUAUUUAUAUCUUUUUUGGUAUUAUAUAUAAAAUUUAUUUUUAAAGUGCAAAAACUUUAAUGAUUUUAAUAGAGGAUAAGACCCUAAGAAUUUAUUUUUUUUGUUUUUUUUAAUAAACUUUUUAACAUUUUAAAUUAGUUGGGGUGACUAAUAGAUUUUUAAAUUCUAUUUUUUUGUGUACUGAAUCAGUUUGCUUGAAUAUUUAUAUUUAAAGGUUUAAUUACCUUAGGGAUAACAGCGUUAUAUUUAUUUGUAGUUCUUAUAGAAAUAGAUGUUUGCGACCUCGAUGUUGGAUUAAGUUGAAUUUUG
rnacentral:rRNA from 1 species